GUUUGUCUGUUAGCAACUUUACGGAGAAAGUAACAGACAGAUUGACCUGAAAUUUUCACCAGAGGUGCGUCUCAGCCCCAGGAGGAUCCCAUUACAUUUUGGUGGUGAUCCGGACAAAAUUCUGGGAACUGUGAUACAGAACACACAAAAAUAAGGGUGUUGUUGGAAUUUUCAAUGCUGAAAGAUAACCAAUGGGCGGCACAGUGGUGUAGAUAGGCGGUACAGUGGUGUAGUGGUUAGCACUGUCGCCUCACAGCAAGAAGGUCCUGGGUUUGAAUCCUGGUCAGGGCAUUUCUUCUUUUAGGAACAUUAUGAACAGUGAACAUACCAGUUUAAACACAAAUAAAAGUUAAUAAAAGACACGUAACAGUAAAAGUUUUGCUGUGAAUCACAAUAUAAGGGGGGACAUGAGCUGCUUGGCGGAGGUCUGCGC